CCGAUGGGUUCCUCUCCAAAGGCGGUCCUGCCGCCGCAAGAGGAUGGGGCUGCGUCCUAUUAGCUAGUUGGUGAGGUAACGGCCCACCAAGGCUUCGAUGGGUAGCUGGUCUGAGAGGACGACCAGCCACAUUGGGACUGAGAUACGGCCCAGACUCCUACGGGAGGCAGCAGUGGGGAAUCUUGGCCAAUGGACGAAAGUCUGAGCCAGCGACACCGCGUGGGGGAUGAAGGCCUUCGGGUCGUAAACCUCUUUUCUGGGGAAAGAAUAAGGACGGGAGGAAAUGCCCGCCCGAUGACGGUACUCCAGGAAUAAGCAUCGGCUAACUCUGUGCCAGCAGCCGCGGUAAGACAGAGGAUGCGAGCGUUAUCCAGAAUUACUGGGCGUAAAGGGCGUCUAGGCGGUUCGGUAAGUCGUUUGUGAAAUCCCUCGGCUCAACCGAGGAUGGUCUUGCGAUACUGCCGGGCUUGGGUGCAGGAGAGGAGAGUGGAACUCACAGAGUAGCGGUGGAAUGCGUAGAUACUGUGAGGUACCCCGAUGGCGAAGGCAACUCUCUGGCCUGCUACCGACGCUGAAGCGCGAAAGCGUGGGGAGCAAAGGGGAUUAGAUACCCCCGUAGUCCACGCCCUAAACAAUGUUCACUUGGUGUCGGCCGCUAUACUGGUCGGUGCCGAAGCUAACGCGUUAAGUGAACCGCCUGAGGAGUACGGCCGCAAGGCUAAAACUCAAGAGAAUUGACGGGUCCCUGCACAAGCGGUGGAGCACGUGGUUUAGUUCGAUGAUAAACGAAGAACCUCACCCAGGCUUGACAUACUAGUGGUAGGAACCUGAAAGGGGGACGACUCUGCCUUCGGGUAGAGAGCCAGUACAGGUGAUGCAUGGCUGUCGUCAGCUCGUGUCGUGGGAUGUUGGGUUCAGUCCCGAAACGAGCGCAACCCUUGUCGUUAGUUGCCAGCGGGUAAUGCCGGGGACUCUAACGAGACUGCUGGUGAAUAGCCGGAGGAAGGCGGGGAUGACGUCAAGUCAUCAUGUCCCUUACGCCUGGGGCGACACACAUGCUACAAUGGGGGGUACAGAGGGUCGCAAUCCCGCAAGGGGGAGCCAAUCCAUAAAAACCCCUCCCAGUACGGAUUGAGGUCUGCAACUCGACCUCAUGAAGCCGGAAUCGCUAGUAAUCGCGGGUCAGCCAUACCGCGGUGAAUAUGUACUCAGGGAUUGUACACACCGCCCGUCACACCAACCGAGUGGGGGGUACCUGAAGUCGCUCUUCUGAGGGCGCCUAGGGUAACUUCCGCAAGAGGGGUGAAGUCGUAACAAGGUA
rnacentral:rRNA from 1 species